rnacentral:rRNA from 2 species
AGAGUUUGAUCAUGGCUCAGAUUGAACGCUGGCGGCAGGCCUAACACAUGCAAGUCGAACGGUAACAGAAAGCAGCUUGCUGCUUUGCUGACGAGUGGCGGACGGGUGAGUAAUGUCUGGGAAACUGCCUGAUGGAGGGGGAUAACUACUGGAAACGGUAGCUAAUACCGCAUAACGUCGCAAGACCAAAGAGGGGGACCUUCGGGCCUCUUGCCAUCGGAUGUGCCCAGAUGGGAUUAGCUUGUUGGUGGGGUAACGGCUCACCAAGGCGACGAUCCCUAGCUGGUCUGAGAGGAUGACCAGCCACACUGGAACUGAGACACGGUCCAGACUCCUACGGGAGGCAGCAGUGGGGAAUAUUGCACAAUGGGCGCAAGCCUGAUGCAGCCAUGCCGCGUGUAUGAAGAAGGCCUUCGGGUUGUAAAGUACUUUCAGCGGGGAGGAAGGGAGUAAAGUUAAUACCUUUGCUCAUUGACGUUACCCGCAGAAGAAGCACCGGCUAACUCCGUGCCAGCAGCCGCGGUAAUACGGAGGGUGCAAGCGUUAAUCGGAAUUACUGGGCGUAAAGCGCACGCAGGCGGUUUGUUAAGUCAGAUGUGAAAUCCCCGGGCUCAACCUGGGAACUGCAUCUGAUACUGGCAAGCUUGAGUCUCGUAGAGGGGGGUAGAAUUCCAGGUGUAGCGGUGAAAUGCGUAGAGAUCUGGAGGAAUACCGGUGGCGAAGGCGGCCCCCUGGACGAAGACUGACGCUCAGGUGCGAAAGCGUGGGGAGCAAACAGGAUUAGAUACCCUGGUAGUCCACGCCGUAAACAAUGUCGACUUGGAGGUUGUGCCCUUGAGGCGUGGCUUCCGGAGCUAACGCGUUAAGUCGACCGCCUGGGGAGUACGGCCGCAAGGUUAAAACUCAAAUGAAUUGACGGGGGCCCGCACAAGCGGUGGAGCAUGUGGUUUAAUUCGAUGCAACGCGAAGAACCUUACCUGGUCUUGACAUCCACGGAAGUUUUCAGAGAUGAGAAUGUGCCUUCGGGAACCGUGAGACAGGUGCUGCAUGGCUGUCGUCAGCUCGUGUUGUGAAAUGUUGGGUUAAGUCCCGCAACGAGCGCAACCCUUAUCCUUUGUUGCCAGCGGUCCGGCCGGGAACUCAAAGGAGACUGCCAGUGAUAAACUGGAGGAAGGUGGGGAUGACGUCAAGUCAUCAUGGCCCUUACGACCAGGGCUACACACGUGCUACAAUGGCGCAUACAAAGAGAAGCGACCUCGCGAGAGCAAGCGGACCUCAUAAAGUGCGUCGUAGUCCGGAUUGGAGUCUGCAACUCGACUCCAUGAAGUCGGAAUCGCUAGUAAUCGUGGAUCAGAAUGCCACGGUGAAUACGUUCCCGGGCCUUGUACACACCGCCCGUCACACCAUGGGAGUGGGUUGCAAAAGAAGUAGGUAGCUUAACCUUCGGGAGGGCGCUUACCACUUUGUGAUUCAUGACUGGGGUGAAGUCGUAACAAGGUAACCGUAGGGGAACCUGCGGUUGGAUCACCU